rnacentral:rRNA from 1 species
UACGUAGGUGACAAGCGUUGUCCGGAUUUACUGGGCGUAAAGAGCGCGCAGGCGGUCGUUCAAGUCGAGUGUGAAAGCCCCCGGCUCAACUGGGGAGGGUCACUCGAUACUGAUCGACUCGAAGGCAGGAGAGGGAAGUGGAAUUCCAGGUGUAGCGGUGAAAUGCGUAGAUAUCUGGAGGAACACCGGUGGCGAAGGCGGCGUUCUGGGACUGCAACUGACACUGAAAAACGAAAGCCAGGGGAGCAAACGGG